rnacentral:rRNA from 1 species
UACGGAGGGGGCUAGCGUUAUUCGGAAUUACUGGGCGUAAAGCGCACGUAGGCGGCUUUGUAAGUAAGAGGUGAAAGCCCGGGGCUCAACUCCGGAACUGCCUUUUAGACUGCAUCGCUUGAAUCCAGGAGAGGUGAGUGGAAUUCCGAGUGUAGAGGUGAAAUUCGUAGAUAUUCGGAAGAACACCAGUGGCGAAGGCGGCUCACUGGACUGGUAUUGACGCUGAGGUGCGAAAGCGUGGGGAGCAAACAGG